rnacentral:pre_miRNA from 1 species
UGUAGGAUAGCUGGGUUAAAUGAUGAUUCUAUUCCAAGUUUUUAAAGGAAUCUCCAUACUGCUUUCCAGAUUAGCUGCACCAAUUUGCAGUCCCACCAGCAAU